AAUUCUCAAUCUCUACAACUUUGUGUUGUCUAGAUUGGAAGUGGGGGUCUUUUGUGUGGAAUCCAAUUCCUCACUCCCCUUAAAUGCAUUAGCUGGAAUGCCUCUGCAUGUCUGACUAUCAGUGUGAUAAUUAUCUAUGCUGUAGUUGUUGCAUGAGGGUAUCUGCUUCAUAAAUCGUCGCAAGACAAUUAUUGACCA
rnacentral:misc_RNA from 1 species